UACGUAGGGCGCAAGCGUUGUCCGGAAUUAUUGGGCGUAAAGAGCUCGUAGGCGGUCUGUUACGUCUGCUGUGAAAACCCAGGGCUUAACCCUGGGCUUGCAGUGGAUACGGGCAGACUAGAGGCAGGUAGGGGAGAAUGGAAUUCCCGGUGUAGCGGUGAAAUGCGCAGAUAUCAGGAAGAACACCCGUGGCGAAGGCGGCUCUCUGGGACGGUACUGACGCUGAGACGCGAAAGCGUGGGGAGCGAACAGG
rnacentral:rRNA from 1 species